rnacentral:lncRNA from 1 species
GAUUUUUCAUGGGACCGUACCGGGCUGUUCAGCAGCGGCAUGUAAGGAAUUUCUGAUGGAAAGCAGAGACAGGCAGUGGCAGGGCAGGCAGCUGCCUGCAGGAGAGAAGUUCCUCCAGGCCAGGGAGGACCCCCAGCUUUGGAGCAGUGGUCUUUUUGUUCCCCUGGGACAACCCCCACUGGUUUCCAUUGGUGUUCAACCCCCAGCCCUGAGAAACGUUUGCCAUAAGAGCUCCAUCAGAGAGAGGCGUGUGAGGACCAUGGCCUUGGAGAACUGCUCCUGCCUCACAUCCGACCUGCUGCAGAAGGCUUGGGUGGAGGAAAUGAAAGAUGAGAAGGAAAUAUUAAACUCAGCCGUGCCGUGGAAGUCAGCGAAAGGCUGCAGCUUGAGGAGAGAAGCUGCAAGAUGCCCCUCCAUUGCAAGCCUCAGGAUUCAAAAAUCGGGCUGCAAGUGCAACUGGAUCAUUUUGAGAACAAAAAAGCACAGAGACAAGAGUGAACAGGAGCUGACUUAUUAUUUAAAGAAUUUCAUUUUCAUUUUGAGGUCCCUUCUUUCCUGGACUUCCCUGGACACCGAAAGGACACCUGGGAAAGGACACCAAUGCUGAGCCAAGCUGAGGGGUUGUUGUUGCUGCCUCCCAG